rnacentral:misc_RNA from 1 species
UUGUGGCCGCCUGAGAUUGGA